rnacentral:tRNA from 1 species
AUUUAAGUAGCAAAGAAGAUAAUGCGAUAGAUUUAGGUUCUAUUAACGGAGAAAAAUUUCCCUUAAAUU